rnacentral:misc_RNA from 1 species
UAACGCUCAAUAAUGAGGUUAAUUAAAAAAUUUCACUUUUUUCAAUUUUCAUUAAACGCCGGAUAUUCCGGCGUUUUUUG